GGGCCGUCGCCCCCCCAGCAAAAACAAGAUUUUACUAGUACCCAGUAGUAUUUUCGGCCCAUAAGAGGGAUAAGGCCUUAUCUCUUUUCCCCUUCCUAGUCUGCAUCGUUGGUUCGAAAAAAAAGGCUCGUCUGCAUCGACGUGAGGACGUCAGCAACCGCGCUCCUGAUGCCGGUCGACCGCAUCCCGUUCCUCUGCCUCCAGCGCUGCUUCUCCGUUGGAGCUCCACCAUCUCCUCUCAAUCUGCUGCUCGCCCAAUCCCACCUCCAGGGUGCCCGCUCGCUCGAAGUGCCUCCCGGCGACCUCGGCUGAAUGUUGCAGCUGCGAGCUACUGCCUACCGGCCGGCCGGCCAGCGAGCCAGCGAGGAGAACCCUCUCCGUUCUACGAGUUUCCCACCAGCUGCUAGCUGCUGGUAGGAAGUACUGAUGGGCAGGCCGCAUGGGCAAAACCAUUAAUUCAUUUUACAAAAAAGUGAGAGAUGAAUUUGAAGUUAAUGAAGUAAUUCCUAAACGUGAAGAACCAGUGUUUGUUCAUGUCCAUCCCCAUCUCUUGUUGCUCAAAUAUGAACAACAAAAUUAGAAAGAGAAGGUUACAUCGUACCCACUGAUCAAAGAGAUGAUGUAGUGUAAUAAUUAAUUAUAAUACUACAUGGUUCUAUGACAACCUGUAGCACAUCACAUAGUUCUUUUGUUCUGGAGUAGUUUAGGCAUAUAUUGCUGCUAGAAGUUUAUUUUGUGGAAAAAUCAAUCCAAUUAUAUCAGUUUCUAAAAAUACUAUAAAUUCUAGCUUGUUGCUGCAUAAUUUCAUUUUCCAUAAAAUUUACAUGUUAUUUUCGCGGCUUCGCCCUCCCAAAGAUUUUCUGCAAGGUCCGCCACUGUGUAGGAGGACAGGUAGUUGUGAUCCCCCAAUUUCCUGCAAGAGGCCAUAAUUUAGACGUCAAAAGGUUCUCGUUCGCUGUUAUUCAAAAAAAAAAAGAUUCUCAUUCAGAUAGGUCAAAAGAGAGCAAAUAAGAGCAUGCUUAAAUAGUUAAAAGGUAUACUUACCUUGGUUGUAUCGCGUAUAGCAAAUUGAAUGCAAAUGCCAAGAAGGAGGGUUGUUCCGGUGCUCCCCUAAACUAAGUUGAAGGGUUAUAAUUGGGUUUUUUUUUCCAUGUGUUGGGUCCGCCAAAACCAAUAUCCAACCUAUAUACCAGUCUGUAUUGAUACA